rnacentral:rRNA from 1 species
UACGAGGGGGGCGAGCGUUGUUCGGAAUUAUUGGGCGUAAAGGGUGCGUAGGCGGUUUGGUAAGUCUUAUGUGAAAUCUACAGGCUCAACUUGUAGUCUGCAUGAGAAACUGCCGGGCUUGAGUAUGGGAGAGGUGAGUGGAAUUUCCGGUGUAGCGGUGAAAUGCGUAGAUAUCGGAAGGAACACCUGUGGCGAAAGCGGCUCACUGGACCAUUACUGACACUGAGGUACGAAAGCUAGGGGAGCAAACAGG